CUUUCUGCCUAGCUCUAGCUCAUGGUUGUUAUCCUGUCCUCACUCUUCCUGGGCUUAGCAGAGGUCAUGUUCUUGCUUGUGCUUUCUGCUAAGUGAGACAAGACCUUCAUGCCUUCCUCUCCAGCUUCUCAGUAGAGGCAUGCAGAACAUACCCAAUGUCACAAACAAACCUCGAGUGGGCAAGCAAGAAGCCAGGAAUCAGAUGCUGGCUUGAAUCCAGAGGCUGAUGUGGGCCCAAAACCUGCCUGAAAAAUGGAACAAAGGGAAGACAUUGGCCUAAGAGAACACAAGAGAUGCUGCUAAGGUCAUUUAUAGCUUGUAGAAGACUACAAGUAGUCUCAUUUCAGCCAGGACUGGA
rnacentral:lncRNA from 7 species